AACGCGAAAGGGGCUUCGGCCCUGAGUAGAGUGGCAAACGGGUGAGUAACACGUGGGUGACCUGCCUUCGAGUGGGGGGUAACGUCCCGAAAGGGACGCUAAUACCGCAUAACAUCCUGCCUUUGGACAGGCGGAGAUCAAAGCUGGGGAUCGCAAGACCUGGCGCUUGAAGAGGGGCCCGCGUCUGAUUAGCUAGUUGGUGGGGUAAUGGCUCACCAAGGCAACGAUCAGUAUCCGGCCUGAGAGGGCGGACGGACACACUGGGACUGAGACACGGCCCANACUCCUACGGGAGGCAGCAGUGGGGAAUUGUUCGCAAUGGGCGCAAGCCUGACGACGCAACGCCGCGUGGAGGAUGAAGAUCUUCGGGUCGUAAACUCCUGUCGAGCGGGACGAACACCUUUCGGGUGAAUAUCUCGAAGGGCUGACGGUACCGCUAAAGGAAGCCCCGGCUAACUCCGUGCCAGCAGCCGCGGUAAUACGGGGGGGGCAAGCGUUGUUCGGAAUUACUGGGGCGUAAAGGGCUCGUAGGCGGCCAACUAAGUCAGACGUGAAAUCCCCAGGCUCAACCUGGGAACUGCGUCUGAUACUGGUUGGCUUGAAUCCCGGAAAAGGGAUGCAAAAUUCCAGGUGUAGCGGUGAAAUGCGUAAAUAUCUGGAGGAAUACCGGUGGCGAAGGCGGCAUCCUGGACCGGCAUUGACGCUUAAGAAGCGAAAGCCAGGGGAAGCAAACGGGAUUAAAUACCCCGGUAGUCCUGGCCCUAAACGAUGAAUGCUUGGUGUGACGGGUAUCGAUCCCUGUCGUGCCGAAGCUACGCAUUAACCAU
rnacentral:rRNA from 1 species